rnacentral:lncRNA from 1 species
CACUUAAAGCUUAAUGUUAUAUUCUUUCCAGCUCUUAGAGUUCUUCUAGCCAGUUUGGUGCAUGUUUUGCUGCCAGUUGGAGUGACAGAUUUGAUAAUGCGCACGUCUUGUGCCUUUUAUUAGCAUGCUAUUGUCAAAGAAGCACGGUGGCCUUCAUGUGGUCUUCAUGGUGACGAGCCUGUGAUUCUUUUCCUCAGGGCCCCAGAGGAGAGACCGGUGAGAAGGGAGAAGGCGGCCCACCCGGAGCUGCUGGACCCGCCGGUGCCCGCGGACCCCCUGGAGAUGACGGUCCUAAGGGCAACCCCGGUCCUGUCGGCUUCCCAGGAGACCCUGGUCCCCCCGGAGAGCCUGGUGCUGCUGGUCUUGACGGUUUAUCAGGUGACAAGGGAGACGAUGGAGAUGCCGGACAACCGGUAAGUGUUGCGUGAUCUGGAAUUGUAAAAACUAAAAUGUGCCAAGUAAACAAAAUAUCCAGCCAUAAUGUAUUUCCCAUGAACACAAUGAUGUGCAAGAGUAGA